ACACACGGCAUCUUGUCUA
rnacentral:siRNA from 1 species